ACAAAAACCCAAGUGCUGCUACUUGGCCAAAUCAUUGUGUGCUAAAGAAAUAGCAACUUUGGAUACAGAUUCCAACUGUGGAGCAAGUCAGCAAGGCCUUAAGAGGGAGAAGUUGUGUAAAGAGUGGAUUUCCUGACCAGCUGCCAU